ACUCCUGCGGGAGGCAGCAGUGGGGAAUUUUGGACAAUGGGCGAAAGCCUGAUCCAGCAAUGCCGCGUGUGUGAAGAAGGCCUUCGGGUUGUAAAGCACUUUUGUCCGGAAAGAAAUCCUUGGCUCUAAUACAGUCGGGGGAUGACGGUACCGGAAGAAUAAGCACCGGCUAACUACGUGCCAGCAGCCGCGGUAAUACGUAGGGUGCGAGCGUUAAUCGGAAUUACUGGGCGUAAAGCGUGCGCAGGCGGUUUGCUAAGACCGAUGUGAAAUCCCCGGGCUCAACCUGGGAACUGCAUUGGUGACUGGCAGGCUAGAGUAUGGCAGAGGGGGGUAGAAUUCCACGUGUAGCAGUGAAAUGCGUAGAGAUGUGGAGGAAUACCGAUGGCGAAGGCAGCCCCCUGGGCCAAUACUGACGCUCAUGCACGAAAGCGUGGGGAGCAAACAGGAUUAGAAACCCGUGUAGUCCC
rnacentral:rRNA from 1 species